CUGAUGGCCUACUUCGAUGAAGGGAUAGAGGGACUAAUACUCCGUGCUGAUAUAUCUGCCACGGCAGCAGAUGUUGAGAGCACCCUGACCAUCCCCGCCUCUCCACGACUGAUACUGCUGUUUGCCGGUGAUGAAGCCACAAUUGGAGGAUGGAUGAUCACCAUCGAAAAUCAUGUAAUCUGUGAAGGUGUCGAC